GGAUUUCCUCAUGCCAACACACAGGUUUUUCCAAGACAACGAUCCCAAACACACUGCAAAGACAGUCAGAGCCAUCAUUCAGAUGGAAGGGAUCAAUUGGGUACCGACACCUGCAGAAUCGCCGGAUCUGAACCCAAUUGAGU